rnacentral:rRNA from 1 species
AUUGAACGCUGGCGGCAUGCCUUACACAUGCAAGUCGAACGGCAGCACGGGUGCUUGCACCUGGUGGCGAGUGGCGAACGGGUGAGUAAAGCAUCGGAACGUACCGUGAAGUGGGGGAUAACGUAGCGAAAGUUACGCUAAUACCGCAUAUUCUGUGAGCAGGAAAGAGGGGGAUCUUCGGACCUCUUGCUUCACGAGCGGCCGAUGUCGGAUUAGCUAGUUGGUGAGGUAAAGGCUCACCAAGGCGACGAUCCGUAGCGGGUCUGAGAGGAUGAUCCGCCACACUGGGACUGAGACACGGCCCAGACUCCUACGGGAGGCAGCAGUGGGGAAUUUUGGACAAUGGGCGCAAGCCUGAUCCAGCCAUGCCGCGUGAGUGAAGAAGGCCUUCGGGUUGUAAAGCUCUUUCGGCGGGGAAGAAAUGGCGCUUGUUAAUAGCGAGCGUUGAUGACGGUACCCGCAUAAGAAGCACCGGCUAACUACGUGCCAGCCGCCGCAGUAA